GGCUGUCUGCGCUGUUGGUGAUAGGAAUUUAUUUUUUUGAGCCUAAAGCUUUUAAAGGGAUCUCAAUAUCUGGCUGCAAUGAUCACGCCCCUCACAGGGAAGAUCUGAUCUGCCGUGCGGGAACCCACCUGUACUACAGGUUCAAAAAGCUUUCCUACACGGCAGCGCGGACACUUU
rnacentral:other from 1 species